rnacentral:rRNA from 1 species
AGUCGAGCGGAUGAAGGGAGCUUGCUCUCUGAUUCAGCGGCGGACGGGUGAGUAAUGCCUAGGAAUCUGCCUGAUAGUGGGGGACAACGUUUCGAAAGGAACGCUAAUACCGCAUACGUCCUACGGGAGAAAGCAGGGGACCUUCGGGCCUUGCGCUAUCAGAUGAGCCUAGGUCGGAUUAGCUUGUUGGUGAGGUAAUGGCUCACCAAGGCGACGAUCCGUAACUGGUCUGAGAGGAUGAUCAGUCACACUGGAACUGAGACACGGUCCAGACUCCUACGGGAGGCAGCAGUGGGGAAUAUUGGACAAUGGGCGAAAGCCUGAUCCAGCCAUGCCGCGUGUGUGAAGAAGGUCUUCGGAUUGUAAAGCACUUUAAGUUGGGAGGAAGGGCAUUAACCUAAUACGUUAGUGUUUUGACGUUACCGACAGAAUAAGCACCGGCUAACUUCGUGCCAGCAGCCGCGGUAAUACGAAGGGUGCAAGCGUUAAUCGGAAUUACUGGGCGUAAAGCGCGCGUAGGUGGUUUGUUAAGUUGAAUGUGAAAGCCCCGGGCUCAACCUGGGAACUGCAUCCAAAACUGGCAAGCUAGAGUAUGGCAGAGGGUGGUGGAAUUUCCUGUGUAGCGGUGAAAUGCGUAGAUAUAGGAAGGAACACCAGUGGCGAAGGCGACCACCUGGGCUAAUACUGACACUGAGGUGCGAAAGCGUGGGGAGCAAACAGGAUUAGAUACCCUGGUAGUCCACGCCGUAAACGAUGUCGACUAGCCGUUGGGAUCCUUGAGAUCUUAGUGGCGCAGCUAACGCAUUAAGUCGA